rnacentral:lncRNA from 1 species
ACGGCGGAAUCCCUUGAGACGUCGGCCCGAACGUUGAGAUCUGAAUCGUCGCUUCUGUGUCGGUAACCUUAGUGCCGGAAACCGUGAACGGCGACACUUUAAACCCGUCCGAUAAUUUUGUUUUGUUUUGAUGAUGUUGAUUACUAAGGUCAUGAUCAUCUUGCUUGCAAAUGGUUGAGAGAAUUUGUUGUUUCUUUUGUAGCAAUAUCUCCACUUGUAAUUGUAACUCUGGUAUGUAUUUCAACAUUCUUGAAACUGUGGCCGGAAUGCUCAACCUUUUCUGCAUACAUUUUUAUUCGAAUUUAAAAAUUUAGUUCGAUUAAAUUGAAUAUGAUUUAAUUAGGUUUGAUUAUAAAAAAUUAAUAAUUUAAAUUUAUUCAACUCGAACUCAGUAUUGAUCAGAAAUUAAAACUAACUCGAAAGUCUUGAAUUUGUAAUAAUCUAAACUCGAAAUGACUCGAAUCUAAAAUAUUUUAAACUGGAAAUGAGCGGAAUGUGCAGGAGCAGAACAUAAUAGAAGCUAGAGGGUCUUGAAUCCCUAAAAAUUUAGGAAAUUUUUCAUUAAGCCNNNNNNNNNNNNNNNNNNNNNNNNNNNNNNNNNNNNNNNNNNNNNNNNNNNNNNNNNNNNNNNNNNNNNNNNNNNNNNNNNNNNNNNNNNNNNNNNNNNNNNNNNNNNNNNNNNNNNNNNNNNNNNNNNNNNNUUUCCCAAAAUGUUUGGAAAUUCUCAUUAAACCCCUUAAAACUUUUGAAAGUUUCAAUUAGACCCCAAUUUUCUUUUGAAAAUUUUAAUAAGUGCUCUCAAUUUUUUUGAAAACUUUAAUCAAAUCCCUUAAAUGUUUGGAAAUUCUCACUAAGCCCCUCAAAAUUUUUGAAAGUAACAAAAAAUAAUCCAAAUCUAAAGCGACAAACCCCCUAAAUACAUUAUCCAAAAAACCCAAAUGAAUUGAACCCAAAAUUACCAGAACUCAAAAUGGUUUGAACUUAAAAUAACUUAAACCACAAAUUGACACGAAAUCAAAAAUGAUAAAAAACUUAUAUAAUAUAUAUAUAUAUAUGAUGGCAAUUCAUACCGUUUGCUCAGAUGGUGGGAGCAUUGAACGAAGUGACGAGUACAAGUCAUUCAUCUUUCGUCUCCGGACACGCUCACUCGCGUUGUGGUUAAGCUUCUUGUCAACGGUAGUUGGGUUUUCAUCACCGGUAUCUCCGGCAGAGAACAUUGGUCGAUCGAGCUGGAUUCGAGGCAGAUCAUCAGGGAAUGUAAAAUGAUGGAAACCUUCAAAGCUUUCAAAGCCUGCAAAGGCACCACUGAUGAUAUGUUGGCGGCCAAUAGGAGCAUCUAAGGGCCAUUCACAUGCUGGAAACAAAGCACACAUGCUUGAUAGAUUGUGCUAUAUAGUUUAACCUUAAAAAAACUAUGACAUGAACCUUGAGCAUGAAAUUCUUUUUCAAGUUUCAUGAAUGUUGAACGGAGUAGGAAUAUUGGUUAAAAUAAAUAAACAAAAUAAUGGAGUUUAUAGAGCUUCUUAGUCAUCAAUGGCGUUCGAUAUAGAAAGAAAAGAAAUGCUGUAUACAUACAUCAAACGAAAGUGAAAUCAAUGUUGGGUUCCAACGACGGCGAAAACGCCAAUGAAAACAGCAGCGCCAUGAUCAACACCGGAACCAGCAGCAUCAUCCACGGCGGCGGCGGCAACGGCGGCAGCAACAGCGGCAACACCAGUAAGGAUAUCGUUAAAAGAACCAAGACGAUGACUGAAGUUACGGUGAAGAAUUUGAUGAUCAUCAAUGAAUAAUAAUAAUAAUGCAAAAAAAAAAACCCUUUUUUCUCAGAAGCCAAACAAAUUAAUAUAUACCCACCAUUGACGUAUCGUCUGCUUGAUAACAUUUUCUAUGGGAUUAAAAAGGAAAUUGAGAGGAGUUGAAGGGUAUUUAUGGGAUUUAAGAACAAAAGGGAAUGCUAGGGCUAUGGGGUCACUAUCAAAUCCCUACUUUGUUAAUGUCUCAAUUCAAUUAACCUUAACCUAAAAUCAUAGUUUUCUAAGUCCUAUUGGGUUAAAGAAAAUUAUAAAUUUUGGUACAACUAUGGCUACUUGAAUGUUUUAUAUUGUAUUUACUUUUCAAAAAUAUUAAUUAAUUAAAUUGUUUAUUUGAAUUUUGAAUGCAUAAUAUAAAUAAUAAUUAUCCAUAUUUUUUUUGAAUUUUUUUAAUUAAAAAAAUAUUUGUUAAUGAAAUCUUAAUUUAAUGACCAUAUGAGGAUUCGAAAUAGAUUUGAGCCUCAGCUAUUAUAAAUCACUUGUAAAUCCUGUUUAAAUUUAUUCUAAUUUAAGUAUGAAUAUAUUUUACUUAUCGGUCCGAUUUAACAUUGUGAUAUUGAUUCUAAUUGUGAUUAUUGAUGUAUUGAUUUGUAAAUUUAAUUAUGUUUGCACUAUUUUUAUUCUUAUGUUACUUUUUUUUUGGUGAAAGAAAUAACAAUACAAUGUAAAUAAACUAGACCCUAAAUGGAGGAUCUUCAAACAGUCUUAAGCCUAUUCUCCUAGUUUAAAUAGUCUUGACAAGACUAUCGACAAUUAAGUUCUCUUCUCUAGGAAUAUGCUAAAUUUUCCAUUGCUUAAACAUUUUAAGAGUAUGAUGAAUUCUCUUGACUAAGGCAAAAUUUGAAUUACCCGAAGAAUCCUCCAUGAUGGCGUUAAUGGCUUCGAUACAAUCUGUUUGAAUUAGAGUAUUCUCGAAGCAUUUAUCCAAAAUAAGGUUCAAUCCAUUCAAUAUCUCCCAAAGCUCUGCCUCUAACAUUGUACAAUUCUCCAAAUAUCUGGAGAACCCAAUAAUCCACUCACCAUUAUAUUCUCUCACAUAACCUCCAUAAGCUACAAAACCCUCAUCGACCCUUACCGAAUCAUCUGUAUUCAAACACACCCAAUUGCUAGAUAUAGAUCCCUUAAUUCAUAUGUUACUUUUAUAUAACUCAAAAAUACAUUUUAUAGAGGUGUAUUGACAUUCCAAUAAUUAAAUAAUUAAUUUAUAUAAUCUUUAUUAAUUUUAUUUUUGCAAGUAUUUACAUAAUAUUAUGAUUUUACCAAAUUUAAAAGUUAGACCUAAGUUGGGUUAAUUUCCCCUUCAAAUUAGAAAUAAUAUAUCUGAAAUCCAAAUAACUAUAAUUAGAACCUAGUAAUUAAAAUAUAUUUAGAUUUAAAUUAAAAUAAUUUUAAAAAAGUUCUUACAUCAUGAAAUUUAAAUCAAAACGAUGUUUAUUGAAUUGGAUACACAUAUAGCCAACUAAGUCCUACUGGUGUAAUAAUAUAUAUAUAUAUUAUCCAGGUUAAUAUCAUAUACAGGUUAUUUUGACCAUUUAUAUAUAUAUAUAUAUAUAUAUAUAUAUAUAUAAAUUCUUUUUUUUUGAAACAAAUAUAUAUAUAAAUUCAUAAAAAAAAGAGAGUGACUAAAUUAAUCCUUUUAGGCAGAGAUGAUAAGUGAAAAAGUAAUAAUAAACAAUAUAAUCUGCAAAAGAAUAUUCUCCAUUUAUGCAAUAUUUUUUGUUCUUAAAAGAGAGAAUAAUUAGGUCUUAGAGAGAACAAUGUAUCAGCUCCAUCAUUUUCUUAGUGGAAAAGAAAAAAAGGGUUAAUAUAUAAUUUGGUAUUUAUGAUUAAAUGUAGAAUUAAGUGUUUCUCAAGUCUUCUCUUAGUUUAGAUUUUAGACUUUCCUUUAGUCUUUUAUUAUUGAACUCUUAAAGUAGGGCAAAACUCUCCUAACAUUGUUUUUUUAUUUCAUAAGAAGUGGUGAAACUUGACAUUAUAGUUUGGAGUUUAUUAAAAUUUUUAUAGAUUUUGAGGUCUAAUUAAUUUUUAAAUUUUUUUGGGGGGUUUUGAGAAUUUUCAAAAAACAUAUCUAGUUAAAAAUUUUAAAAAUUAAUGGAAAUUUUCAAUAAUUUAGAGGGUUCAAUUAAAAGUGAAAUCACUCCGCCGAGUGUCGGCUGAUUUUGGGAUUAUUUUCCAGCACCGCCGGAAUUGAUGAAAAAAUGAGAAAAAUAUUGAAGCCCGUCAAGGACGAGGAAGUUGAUUAAAAUGAUGGCAAUGGGUGUCAAUUUCAAUGGCAGGGAAAUUAGUGCAGGUCAUGAUCAUCUUGCUUGCAAAUGGUUGAGAGAAUUUGUUGUUUCUUUUGUAGCAAUAUCUCCACUUGUGAUUGUAACUCUGGUAUGUAUUUCAACAUUCUUGAAACUGUGGCCGGAAUGCUCAACCUU